rnacentral:rRNA from 1 species
GUCGAGCGGCAGCGGGGAGUAGCUUGCUACUCUGCCGGCGAGCGGCGGACGGGUGAGUAAAGUCUGGGGAUCUGGCUUAUGGAGGGGGGUAACCAUUGGAAACGGUGGCUAAUACCGCAUGAUGUCGCAAGACCAAAGUGGGGGACUUUAGGGCCUCACGCCAUAAGAUGAACCCAGAUGAGAUUAGCUAGUAGGUGCGGUAAUGGCGUACCUAGGCGACGAUCUCUAGCUGGUCUGAGAGGAUGACCAGCCACACUGGAACUGAGAAACGGUCCAGACUCCUACGGGAGGCAGCAGUGGGGAAUAUUGCACAAUGGGCGGAAGCCUGAUGCAGCCAUGCCGCGUGUGUGAAGAAGGCCUUAGGGUUGUAAAGCACUUUCAGCGGGGAGGAAGGCGGUAAGAGUAAUAUGCUUAUCGAUUGACGUUACCCGCAAAAGAAGCACCGGCUAACUCCGUGCCAGCAGCCGCGGUAAUACGGAGGGUGCGAGCGUUAAUCGGAAUAACUGGGCGUAAAGGGCAUGUAGGCGGUAAGUUAAGUCAGAUGUGAAAUCCCCGAGCUUAACUUGGGAACGGCAUUUGAGACUGGCGGGCUAGAGUUUUGUAGAGGGGGGUAGAAUUCCAGGUGUAGCGGUGAAAUGCGUAGAGAUCUGGAGGAAUACCGGUGGCGAAGGCGGCCCCCUGGACAAGGACUGACGCUGAGGUGCGAAAGCGUGGGUAGCAAACAGGAUUAGAUACCCUGGUAGUCCACGCUGUAAACGAUGUCGAUUUGGAGGUUGUGGCCUAGUGUUAUGGCGUCCGAAGCUAACGCGAUAAAUCGACCGCCUGGGGAGUACNGCCGCAGGUUAAAACUCAAUGAAUUUGACGGGGGCCCGCACAAGCNGUGGAGCAUGUGGUUUAUUCGAUGCAACGCGAAGAACCNUACCUACUCUUGACNUCCACGGAAUUGA